UACAGAGACUGCAAGCGUUAUUCGGAUUCACUGGGCGUAAAGGGUGCGCAGGCGGUUGGGUGUGUCAGAUGUGAAAUCCCGAGCUUAACCUCGGAACUGCGCCUGAAACUACUCGACUAGAGUACUGGAGAGGGAAACGGAAUUCACGGUGUAGCAGUGAAAUGCGUAGAUAUCGUGAGGAACACCAGAGGCGAAGGCGGUUUCCUGGACAGUUACUGACGCUCAGGCACGAAAGCAUGGGGAGCAAAAGGG
rnacentral:rRNA from 1 species